rnacentral:lncRNA from 1 species
GCGCCCAUGAAUUUAAACAUCUUAAGUGACGUGUGCAUGAAUGAUAUCAUAAUUGGAAUAACAUGGGUAUUUUAUUUUUAUACUUUAUUGUUAUAAAUUGCAUGAUGAAUAGUUAUGGACUAGAAACAUCCAUGUGAUAGAUAUAUUUGUGAAUGUAUCUAUGAUGACUAAUUGUUUGGAUGCAUCUACAAUGGUUGCAAUUUUUAAUAGGGGUAAGGUGCCCUG